CGAGAAAGCCCGCAAGGGUGAGUAAAGCGGCGCACGGGUGCGUAACACGUGGGUAAUCUGCCCUAGAGUCUGGAAUAACUCGCCGAAAGGCGUGCUAAUGCCGGAUGAGACCACGGGAGCUUCGGCUCCUGCGGGAAAAGGUGGCCUCUGUACACAAGCUAUCGCUCUAGGAUGAGCCCGCGGCCCAUCAGCUAGUUGGCGGGGUAAUGGCCCACCAAGGCAACGACGGGUAGCUGGUCUGAGAGGAGGAUCAGCCACACUGGAACUGAGACACGGUCCAGACUCCUACGGGAGGCAGCAGUGGGGAAUCUUGCGCAAUGGGCGAAAGCCUGACGCAGCAACGCCGCGUGUGUGAUGAAGGUCUUCGGAUCGUAAAGCACUGUCGCGAGGGACG
rnacentral:rRNA from 1 species